ACGCUGGCGGCGUGCUUAACACAUGCAAGUCGAACGAGAGCGUAGAGAAAGCUUGCUUUUUCUACAAUCUAGUGGCAAACGGGUGAGUAACGCGUAAACAACCUGCCCUACGGAUGGGGACAACAGCUGGAAACGGCUGCUAAUACCGAAUACGUUCCGAAAGUCGCAUGACUGUCGGAAGAAAGGAUGGCCUCUAUUUAUAAGCUAUCGCCGGAGGAGGGGUUUGCGUCUGAUUAGCUAGUUGGAGGGGUAACGGCCCACCAAGGCGACGAUCAGUAGCCGGUCUGAGAGGAUGAACGGCCACAUUGGAACUGAGACACGGUCCAGACUCCUACGGGAGGCAGCAGUGGGGAAUCUUCCGCAAUGGGCGAAAGCCUGACGGAGCAACGCCGCGUGAGUGAAGACGGCCUUCGGGUUGUAAAGCUCUGUUAUACGGGACGAAUAGUCUUGUGGUUAAUACCCAUGAGAAGUGACGGUACCGUAAGAGAAAGCCACGGCUAACUACGUGCCAGCAGCCGCGGUAAUACGUAGGUGGCAAGCGUUGUCCGGAAUUAUUGGGCGUAAAGGGCGCGCAGGCGGCUUCUUAAGUCUGUCUUAAAAGUGCGGGGCUUAACCCCGUGAUGGGAUGGAAACUGGGAAGCUCAGAGUAUCGGAGAGGAAAGCGGAAUUCCUAGUGUAGCGGUGAAAUGCGUAGAUAUUAGGAGGAACACCAGUGGCGAAAGCGGCUUUCUGGACGAAAACUGACGCUGAGGCGCGAAAGCCAGGGGAGCGAACGGGAUUAGAUACCCCGGUAGUCCUGGCCGUAAACGAUGGGUACUAGGUGUAGGAGGUAUCGACCCCUCCUGUGCCGGAGUUAACGCAAUAAGUACCCCGCCUGGGGAGUACGGCCGCAAGGCUGAAACUCAAAGGAAUUGACGGGGGCCCGC
rnacentral:rRNA from 1 species